UGGAAAUUUAGCUAAGGACAGCUGUCUGUGGGAGAACAUUCCAGAGAGAAGAGCAGAAAAAGCAGUAAAAGGGACACAGUAAACUGAUCUUUCAGCAUACGAGUAUGCUUUCUUGCAUCUAGGGAUACCCAAGUCACAGCAGUGAUGAAAAGAAGAAAAUGAUCCAAAGCACCGAAAGACAACUGAGUGACUUUUCUAUUCACAAAUUGAUAGACUGAGAAGAAGGAAGGAAUGAAAGAUCUGUCUUGUGAAAUUGAAGAGAGUUCAUAGCUGAAAGCAGAGGAAUCUGUGCUGUGGUCAUCCAGAAACUGCUUACAUGCAUUACAACUAAUGUAUGGUCUACACACCCAGUGAAAACGUGGAACACCAGAAUAUAAACUCUGCUUAUAAGGUCAACAUCUUUCCUGUUCUGAGGACCCCACAUCUGAAUGCAGUACUCCAGGAUAGGUCUCAUCAGUGCAGAGUAGAGGGGAAGGAUCACUUCCCUUGUCAUGCAACCGGCAGUCUGGCCAUGAUGACACAGGUGGCAAAAGCCUUUGCAUCUGCUGCCGUUAUUUAUCUUGAAUCUGGUGUCAAGAAAGCUGCUGUGAAGGCCAACGUAUGAAGAAUUUCCUGGUGUGAAGAUAAGAAAGACAGACUGCAGCUGGCUUUGAAUUGAUCCACCAUUGUCCAGUGCUGAGCCAAUCAGCAAUGGGAUAACAUAUUUAAGAAUGGAGAAAAUGCUGUGCAACAACAAACAAGGUCAGUGCGGAUGGGCUGAAGUUGCUCCAGGCACGGAGCAGAAGCUCCCUG
ensembl:lncRNA